rnacentral:rRNA from 1 species
GAUGGUUCGAUUAGUCUUUCGCCCCUAUACCCAGUUCAUACGAUCGAUUUGCACGUCAGAAUCGCUACGGACCUCCAUCAGGGUUUCCCCUGACUUCAUCCUGACCAGGCAUAGUUCACCAUCUUUCGGGUCCCAGCGUGUACGCUCUUGGUGCGCCGCAACUUGCAAUAAGUAUGCGACGCCCCGGGAAUGCGAGGUAACAUAAAUAACGUUACCCAUCUUCCCUUUAUAAAAUAUAAUUAUAAAAAUUAUAUAUAUAUUUACUUUCAUUACGCCUUUAGGUUUAUUAUAAAUACCCAAUGACUUGCGCACAUGCUAG